rnacentral:rRNA from 1 species
GAUGAACGCUGGCGGCGUGCCUAAUACAUGCAAGUCGAGCGAACAGACGAGGAGCUUGCUCCUCUGACGUUAGCGGCGGAAGGGUGAGUAACACGUGGAUAACCUACCUAUAAAACUGGGAUAACUUCGGGAAACCGGAGCUAAUACCGGAUAAUAUAUUGAACCGCAUGGUUCAAUAGUGAAAGACGGUUUUGCUGUCACUUAUAGAUGGAUCCGCGCCGCAUUAGCUAGUUGGUAAGGUAACGGCUUACCAAGGCAACGAUGCGUAGCCGACCUGAGAGGGUGAUCGGCCACACUGGAACUGAGACACGGUCCAGACUCCUACGGGAGGCAGCAGUAGGGAAUCUUCCGCAAUGGGCGAAAGCUGGACGGAGCAACGCCGCGUGAGUGAUGAAGGUCUUCGGAUCGUAAAACUCUGUUAUUAGGGAAGAACAAAUGUGUAAGUAACUAUGCACGUCUUGACGGUACCUAAUCAGAAAGCCACGGCUAACUACGUG